GACGAACGCUGGCGGCGUGCCUAAUACAUGCAAGUAGAACGCUGAAGCGAGGAGCUUGCUCUUCUUGGAUGAGUUGCGAACGGGUGAGUAACGCGUAGGUAACCUGCCUUGUAGCGGGGGAUAACUAUUGGAAACGAUAGCUAAUACCGCAUAACAAUGGAUGACACAUGUCAUUUAUUUGAAAGGGGCAAUUGCUCCACUACAAGAUGGACCUGCGUUGUAUUAGCUAGUAGGUGAGGUAAUGGCUCACCUAGGCGACGAUACAUAGCCGACCUGAGAGGGUGAUCGGCCACACUGGGACUGAGACACGGCCCAGACUCCUACGGGAGGCAGCAGUAGGGAAUCUUCGGCAAUGGGGGCAACCCUGACCGAGCAACACCGCGGGAGUGAAGAAGGGUUUCGGAUCGUAAAGCUCUGUUGUAAGUCAAGAACGGGUGUGAGAGUGGAAAGUUCACACUGUGACGGUAGCUUACCAGAAAGGGACGGCUAACUACGUG
rnacentral:rRNA from 1 species